GAAUGAUCAAGCACCUAAGGGUGCAUGGUGGAUGGUUAGGCUAUCAGAGGCGACGAAGGACGCGCCAAGCUGCGAUAAGCCUGGGGGAGCUGCACUGAAGCUACGAUCCCAGGAUUUCCGAAUGGGGCAACCCACUGAGGCAACCCCUCAGUACUGCGAAAGCAGAGCAAACCCGGUGAAUUGAAACAUCUUAGUAGCCGGAGGAAGAGAAAUCGAAUGAGAUGGCGUUAGUAGCGGCGAGCGAACACGCCAGAGCCUAAACCGGUCGGCUUGCCGACCGGGGUUGUAGGGCCCGCGACAUGGGACUCAGAACGCGAGCAGAAGCAUCUGGAAAGAUGCCCGAUACAGGGUGAUAGGCCCGUACGCGCAGUGAACUGAGCCCUAGUGGGUACCUGAGUAACGCAAGACCCGUGAAAUCCUGCGUGAAGCUAGGGCGACCACGCUCUAAGGCUAAAUACUCCUGAUAGACCGAUAGUGCACGAGUAGCGCGAGCGAACACUGAAAAGCACCCCUGGCGGGGAGUGAAAUAGACCCUGAAACCAUGCACUUACAAGCAGUCGUAGACCUAUGGCCCGCAAGGAGUCCAGGUUGGCGGCGUGCCUUUGCAUAAUGACCCAGCGACUUACCGUUUGCAGCGAGCUUAAGGACUUACGGUCCGGAGGCGUAGGGAAACCGAGUGUGAAAAGCGCGACAAGUUGUAGGCGGUAGACCCGAAACUUAGUGAUCUAGCCAUGAGCAGGUUGAAGCGACGGUAACACGUCGUGGAGGACCGAACCCGUGACCGUUGAAAAGGUUUGGGAUGACUUGUGGCUAGGAGCAAAAGACUAAUCAAACUGAGAGAUAUCUGGUUCUCCUCGAAAUAUAUAUAGGUAUAGGCUCACGGAAUUAUUCUAUGGAGGUAAAGCACUGAAUGGGCUAGGGGCCUCACCGGGUUACCAAACCCAAUCAAACUCUGAAUGCCAUAGAAUGUAUCGUGGGGCUCAGACAGUGGGGGAUAAUCUUCAUUGUCAAAAGGGAAAGAGCCCAGACCAACAGCUAAGGUCCCAAAAUAUCUGCUUAGUGGUAAAGGAAGUCAUUGUGCUCAGACAGCCAGGAUGUUGGCUUAGAAGCAGCCAUCAUUUAAAGAGUGCGUAACAGCUCACUGGUCGAUGCACGGUGGUGCCGAAAAUAACCGGGGCUCAAGCGAUAUACCGAAGCUUUGGCUGUGACGAUAUUCGUAUCGUCACGGGGUAGAGGAGCGUUGCAUGCGGGAUGAAGGCGGACUGAAAAGACCGUUGGACUGCACGCAAGUGAUUAUGCUGGGAUGAGUAACGAUAAAGCAGGUGAGAAUCCUGCUCACCGUAAGCCUACGGUUUCCUCCGGAAGGUCAUUCCGCGGAGGGUGAGGCGGCCCCUAAGUCGAGGCCGACAGGCGUAGACGAUGGACAGACGGUUAAUAUUCCGUCCCUAUCAACGAGGUGCCCACGGAGAACGCAUGAGACUAACACGGUGGAUCCAGAAGCUGGACCACGUUGGUGCGCGGUUUGCCCUUUUGAAAGAUUGGGCGCACGCUUCGCACUCGCCAAGGCCCUUGAGGCGUAUAGGCGUGUGAUGUCAUGGUGCCGAGAAAAGUCCGUCGGGAGUUAACGUCGUUGAUAACCGUACUCGAAACCGACACAGGUAGGCGAGGAGAAUAUCCUCAGGUGCGCGAGAGAACUCUGGUUAAGGAACUCGGCAAAUUCACUCCGUAACUUCGGGAGAAGGAGUGCCAACAGCUAUUCGCAAGAAGAACCUGGUGGCCGCAGUGAAGAGGCCCAACCGACUGUUUACUAAAAACACAGUACUCUGCUAACUCGCAAGAGGAUGUAUAGGGUAUGAUGCCUGCCCGGUGCUCGAAGGUUAAGGGGAGGGGUCAGCCGCAAGGCGAAGCUCUGAACUCAAGCCCGAGUAAACGGCGGCCGUAACUAUGACGGUCCUAAGGUAGCGAAAUUCCUUGUCGGGUAAGUUCCGACCUGCAUGAAAGGCAUAACGAGUUGGGCACUGUCUCAAC
rnacentral:rRNA from 1 species